rnacentral:lncRNA from 1 species
AGUGAUUCAACCGCGCCACCGAGCGCGGAGCUGCCCUGGAGGACGCAGGCGGGUCUAGUUGCCCGGGUCCCCCAAGGCCCCCGGAUUCACCCAGGCCCGCGACUCCGACGUGCAGCUUAGGUCUGAGGGUCAGUUGGCUCAGGCAUCGCCCGGUACGACCAGAGAUAGUGACUGAGGAAGAGCAGCCUCACAUCUGGCAGUUUGCCUCUGGGAGAAUUCCAGCGUGACAUCUGCAGCUCUGUGGUUCCAGAAAGGAUGGUUCCCACAUUGAAGAAGACAUCUGUGGGACUGAGUUCCACCGAAAUGCAGAGGAACCAAAAAUGAAAAUGAAAAAUGUAACCAGAGUUGUGUGCCACUAGUUUUAAGCUUUGGUUUUUCUAAAUUAUUUUCUGGCUUCUCCUUCUGGGCUUUGCUGUAAACUUGCCAAGCAUGAGAACAACUCUUCAUCUAUUGAGUGGCAUUUUAAGCCAUCCUGUCAAAGUAUCUCCUGUCAUUUUUAUUAUUAUUACUCUAUAUUGCCUGCAAGACACGACUGGAGAAUUCUUAGUGUAAGAAUUGUUUGUUUCCUCUCUCCUUCUUUCCCACGUUUUCCCAGGGAAGUCAGUCUUGCAUUUUAAUGCAUACUAUAUACAUAUCUCGUUUAGCUUACUGAACCACUUGUUUUAACAGAAUAAAACUGUGCAAAAUUUUAA